GUCCCUGUAGCGCAAUAAUAGUGCGUUGGACCUUUAAUCCAAAGGUCGUGCGUUCGAAUCUCACCUGGAAUU